AUGGAUGACGACGCUUUGCCAUUUUCAAUUGAACCCUCAUUAUUUAAUGUUUCUUUUGAGCUUUGCUGGCUUCAUUAUUUAAAGCUUCAAAUGCCUGUAAAGAGUACGAUUUGUUCCUUGCAUCUCUUCACCUACUACCUGCAAUUCUACUGCUACACUCUUUUCAUUUUGUUCCAAUCUUCAACAUUUUCGGAAUAUUCGUAUGGAAAUGAGUGA